UAAAGAUAAAGUGUGAUCGUGGAA
rnacentral:siRNA from 1 species